rnacentral:rRNA from 1 species
AAACCAGCACCUCAAGUGGUCAGGAUGAUUAUUGGGCCUAAAGCAUCCGUAGCCGGCUCAGUAAGUUUUCGGUUAAAUCUGUACGCUUAACGUACAGGCUGCCGGGAAUACUGCAGAGCUAGGGAGUGGGAGAGGUAGACGGUACUCGGGAGGAAGUGGUAAAAUGCUUUGAUCUCUCGAUGACCACCUGUGGCGAAGGCGGUCUACCAGAACACGUCCGACGGUGAGGGAUGAAAGCUGGGGGAGCAAACCGGAUUAGAAACCCGAGUAGUCC